ACUGAUAGCAAUAUUAGGUGGCGACCGGCGGACGGGUGAGUAACGCGUAUGCAACCUACCCUUUACAGGGGGAUAGCCCGGAGAAAUUCGGAUUAAUACCCCAUAGAUCAGUGAUUCUGCAUGGGAUUACUGGUAAAGCUUCGGCGGUAAAGGAUGGGCAUGCGUCCCAUUAGCUAGUUGGUAGGGUAACGGCCUACCAAGGCAACGAUGGGUACGGGGUCUUAAAGGAUGGACCCGCACACUGGCACUGAGACACGGGCCAGACUCCUACGGGAGGCAGCAGUGAGGAAUAUUGGUCAAUGGGGGGAACCCUGAACCAGCCAUCCCGCGUGCAGGAAGACAGUUCUAUGGAUUGUAAACUGCUUUUCUUGGGGAAGAAUAAUGACGACGUGUCGUCAGAUGACGGUACCCGAGGAAUAAGCAUCGGCUAACUCCGUGCCAGCAGCCGCGGUAAUACGGAGGAUGCAAGCGUUAUCCGGAUUUAUUAGGUUUAAAGGGUGUGUAGGCGGAUGUAUAAGUCAGUGGUGAAAGUCAGCAGCUUAACUGUAGAAUUGCCAUUGAUACUGUAUGUCUUGAGUGUGGUUGAGGUAUGCGGAAUGUGUAAUGUAGCGGUGAAAUGCAUAGAUAUUACACAGAACACCGAUUGCGAAGGCAGCAUGCUAAGCCACAACUGACGCUGAUGCACGAAAGCGUGGGGAUCAAACAGGAUUAGAUACCCUGGUAGUCCACGCUGUAAACGAUGAUUACUAGCUGUUGGCGAUACAAAGUCAGUGGCCAAGCGAAAGCAAUAAGUAAUCCAC
rnacentral:rRNA from 1 species